rnacentral:rRNA from 1 species
CACCGGAUCCCAUCAGAACUCCGCAGUUAAGCGCGCUUGGGCUAGAGUAGUACUGGGAUGGGCGACCUCCCGGGAAGUCCUAGUGUUGCACCCU